AACUCUCAAUCUUUAUUCUUGAUCAUCAAGGCUUUGAAUGUCUCGGAGCUUGAAUGAAGUUUGGAUCAAUGGAAGUUGCAGAAUUUCACUUUUGCUCUUCUCAAAUGCAUUAGCAAAAUAUCAUCAUUGAUCCUUUGAUAUGAUAAUCUAUCUAUAUCAUCUGGAACAAGCUUGAUGUUGCUUCCAAUUGUCAUCUCUUUGAAGAGAAAAUGAUAUGAUG
rnacentral:misc_RNA from 1 species